GACGAACGCUGGCGGCGUGCUUAACACAUGCAAGUCGAACGGAAAGGCCCUGCUUUUGUGGUGUGCUCGAGUGGCGAUCGGGUGAGUAACACGUGUGUAACCUGCCCUUCUCUUUGGUAUAACUUCACGUAACUGGGGCUACUCUCGUAUAGGAUCUCCUGCUCCAUUGUGGGGGUUGGAUAUUUUCGGCGGUUGGGGAUGGACUCGCGGCUUAUCAGCUUGUUGGUUGGGUAGUGGCUUACCAAGGCUUUGACGGAUAGCCGGCCUGUGAGGGUGACCGGGGAAAAGGGGACUGAGAGAGGGCGCAGAGUGGAACGGGAGGCAGCAGUGGGAAAUAUGGCACAAUGGGCGGAAGCGGGAGGAAGAAACGCCGCGGGCGGGAUGACGGCCUGCGGGGUGAAAAACGCAUUCGGAUGAGACGAAGCGUGAGUGACGGUAAUGGGUAAAGAAGCACCGGCUAACUACGUG
rnacentral:rRNA from 1 species